CCCACUCCCCUUUAUAAGUGGCCCCAGGAAAAGCAAGCCCUAACUUUGCCCAAUUGGGCAGAAGGAUCCUCCUCGGAUCAUCACCGAAGGCAUGAGUAUGUCUGAUGUUUGUCUCUGCAUGACUUCCAGUGGGCCCAGACACCUGGUAUAAUACUCUGAAGUUCCUACAAGUACAUGAUUGGACAACAAUAGUAGCGAUGACAGCAUGUCAUGGAGGGCCUGUAGGCCUAAAAAUAGGCUUGUUUCUGCCUUGCCUGGACAUGUUUUUCUGCCCAAACCAGAGCCUACUGGCCAGCGUGAGACCGUGCUCAGACUGCACGGCAUCGUACUCCUGCAUCUAAGGUCCUGCCACUCCCUGGACAGAGCAUCCGGAAGAAGCCAGGAGACAAGGGCAGAGAUUGCAUCUGUCGCCAGGAGAUCAAGGUCAGAGACUGUCAUUUUCCCCAGAAACCGGGAAGAUUCUCCUUCCCCCUCAAGCCAGGAGGAUUCCAGCCUCAGAGUCCACGGGCAAAGCUCCCCUCAAGUUUGGACGCUGGCACAGGCUGUGAUGUAGCCCCAGAGGGUGAUUGAUAAUUAAUAAGAAUUUUAAUUAAAAAUACAGGAGCUGGGCCCUCCAUGACGCUGAGACUGCAUGACAUCCAACUCCUGAACCUGAGAUCCUGCCUACAUAUCCCUGGACAGAGCAUCCAGAAGAAGCCAGCAGCACAAAGGCAGAGCUUGCAUCCAUUGCGGGGAAAACUCCUCUCUCUGUUUAUAGUUUGAACUGUUUGCUAGUUAUUAACAAGUUACUGUAGAUAUUAAUCCUUGAAUGUUUUCAUAACUGUGUAGAAUCCAUUUUAAUAUUAAUAUACAGUGGUUGGGGGUGGCAAGAGUUCAGAAUAUUGAGUUUAAUAAAUAUAUAUAUUUAUAGAAUA